GUGCCAGCCGCCGCGGUAAUACGUAGGGUGCGAGCGUUAAUCGGAAUUACUGGGCGUAAAGCGUGCGCAGGCGGUUUUGUAAGCCGGAUGUGAAAUCCCCGGGCUUAACCUGGGAAUGGCAUUCGGGACUGCAAGGCUGGAGUGCGGCAGAGGAGACUGGAAUUCCUGGUGUAGCAGUGAAAUGCGUAGAUAUCAGGAGGAACACCGAUGGCGAAGGCAGGUCUCUGGGCUGACACUGACGCUCAUGCACGAAAGCGUGGGGAGCAAACAGGAUUAGAAACCCCCGUAGUCC
rnacentral:rRNA from 1 species